rnacentral:rRNA from 1 species
UAUACCGUGAAACUGCGAAUGGCUCAUUAAAUCAGUUAUCGUUUAUUUGAUAGUACCUUACUACUUGGAUACCCGUGGUAAUUCUAGAGCUAAUACAUGCAAAAAACCCCGACUUCUGGAGGGGUGUAUUUAUUAGAUAAAAAACCAAUGCCCUUCGGGGCUCCUUGGUGAUUCAUAAUAACUUAACGGAUCGCAUGGCCUUGCGCCGGCGACGGUUCAUUCAAAUUUCUGCCCUAUCAACUUUCGAUGGUAAGGUAUUGGCUUACCAUGGUUUCAACGGGUAACGGAUUUUUAGGGAAAGAUCCCGGAGAGGCAGCCUGAGAAACGGCUACCACAUCCAAGGAAGGCAGCAGGCGCGCAAAUUACCCAAUCCUGAUACAGGGAGGUAGUGACAAUAAAUACUGAUACAGGGCUCUUUUGGGUCUUGUAAUCGGAAUGAGUACAAUUUAAAUACCUUAACGAGGAACAAUUGGAGGGCAAGUCUGGUGCCAGCAGCCGCGGUAAUUCCAGCUCCAAUAGCGUAUAUUAAAGUUGUUGCAGUUAAAAAGCUCGUAGUUGAACCUUGGGCCUGGCUGACCGGUCCGCCUCACCGCGUGUACUGGUUCGGCUGGGCCUUUCCUUCUGGAGAACCGCAUGCCCUUCACUGGGUGUGUCGGGGAACCAGGACUUUUACUUUGAGAAAAUUAGAGUGUUCAAAGCAGGCCUUUGCUCGAAUACGUUAGCAUGGAAUAAUAGAAUAGGACGUGCGGUCCUAUUUUGUUGGUUUCUAGAACCGCCGUAAUGAUUAAUAGGGAUAGUCGGGGGCGUCAGUAUUCAAUUGUCAGAGGUGAAAUUCUUGGAUCUAUUGAAGACUAACUACUGCGAAAGCAUUCGCCAAGGAUGUUUUCAUUAAUCAGUGAACGAAAGUUAGGGGAUCGAAGACGAUCAGAUACCGUCGUAGUCUUAACCGUAAACUAUGCCGACUAGGGAUCGGGCGAUGUUUCUUUCUUGACUCGCU